AUAGAAAACAAAACUAACGAGUUAAGUUCUCCAGCAGAGUAGAAUCGUUAAAAUGAGUUCUGCACGCACUGGCAUACGUCACUUUAAUAUUGCGUACGAAUUUCCUAGAAAGUUGUCUUCCAUUGGCGUCAGCCAUCGUGUAAUUCAGAAACAUAAAACCAAAUCAUAUUCAGACUCAUGAGAUCGUGUAGUUUUGCCAACUCACAAUGGUCGCGUGGAUAAGCUACGUCAACAUAUGUUGUCAUCCGCCGGUGAUAUGUAAUCGACACCAGAAUCUUCAUUCGGGAUGUGGGAAAGCUUUGUAGGCGCCUGUUCAGGCGUUUCAACAAUAGUUUCGGUGUCGAAUUCACUUCGUCAUAUAUGUUUACUUGUUAUGUGGGGUACGCUGGGCUCACUAUAAAUACGAGAACACCUCCUCAUCCAAGUCAUUAGCGACAAGCAUUCGACAAUUCCACUUCAAGAAAUGCCAAGAUGAUCAUCAUGAAAACUUCAACCGUUGAAGGUGAUCAGAAGUUAAAACAAGUCGAUGGCAUCACGUGACCGUAUCACAUGGUGUCGUUUGAUAACUACCAGCUGGUGCAAGUUGUAUGAACAACUGAUGCAGUGAAAGAAACAAGAAACAAAACAGCUGCAAAUAUUGAGGCAGUGAAUACGAUAAACGGGGAAACAAAGGAAAGAUGGCGUUUUUAUUCUCGAUGAAAAUCAAUUUGACACCGCCUGUAGGAGGCGAUGAAUAUGAAGAAAUAACUUUGACUUGGCUUCUCAUUUUGAGCCAUCAACUUUUACAUCGACGACGUUCAUUCUACUGAUGAACAUUUUCAACAAUAGCGACAUUGGUUAUGCUGAAUAUUAACUUUUACUUUGCGUUUCGACAAGUUUGCAGAGUGCAAACUCUCACAACUACGCAGCAAAUUAUCUGCUGUUAGAAAGUAUAUUAUUUGACAGAAGUAACAUCAGUUACUCAAUUGUAUUUUUUACUUGAUAUACUCCGUUUAUUGACAAAUGCUGAAAUUCUCAGCUGAAACUUGGUAUUUAUUCUUCCGACUUUCAUGUUUUCACAUGUUACUCGACUUAUCGACAUCGUUAUUGUAUAAUUACAUAAAACAUAACGACCGACCGAAAGGUGGCAAAAUAACGACAACACCAGAAAUGGUGUUUGAAAUCGUGUUGUAACAUGUUCUUAUUGUUGUGUAAUGUUUUCGAAUUUUUGACAUAACCUCGACAUAUGUUAAGGUAAUAAAAUUUUCUCCAAUAU